rnacentral:rRNA from 1 species
GAUGAACGCUGGCGGCGUGCCUAAUACAUGCAAGUCGAGCGAACAGACGAGGAGCUUGCUCCUCUGACGUUAGCGGCGGACGGGUGAGUAACACGUGGAUAACCUACCUAUAAGACUGGGAUAACUUCGGGAAACCGGAGCUAAUACCGGAUAAUAUAUUGAACCGCAUGGUUCAAUAGUGAAAGACGGUUUUGCUGUCACUUAUAGAUGGAUCCGCUCCGGAUUAGCUGGUUGGUAAGGUAACGGCUUACCAAGGCAACGAUGCGUAGCCGACCGGAGAGGGGGGUCGCCGACAUGGGAGGUGGAACGGGGUCAAGGGGCCUACGAGAGGCAGCAGUAGGGAAUGUGACGCAGUGGGCGAAAAUUUGGCAGAACAACGCCGCGUGAGUGAUAAAGGUCUUGGGUGCGUAAAGCUGUCUUAUGAGGGGAGAACAAAUGUGUGAGGAAAUGUAGCCGGCUUGACGGUACCUGAAGAAGAAGCCACGGCUAACUACGUG